rnacentral:lncRNA from 1 species
GAACGUGCACCACUGGACCGACUUCGGAUCGAAGUACCCACCUGUAUCAGUGUUACGCCUGUCUUUGAACUAUACACAAUCGUCAACCGGACCUAUGAAGAGUCCACCAGGUUGGUGUCCACCUACUAAACCAAAUUACACAACUCACAAACCCCACACAAUUCCCUAAAAUCGGUUUCCUAAAACCGAUCACCUUAAUUUGCCAAAAAUCCCAAAAAUCACACCGGGAUUCCAUCGGGAUCCACUAA